rnacentral:rRNA from 1 species
AGUCAGAUGUUAAAUUUUAGGGCUCAACNCUAAAACCGCAUUUGAAACGUUUAUUCUAGAGGAUGGUAGAGGCAAAUAGAACUUAUGGUGUAGCAGUAAAAUGCGUUGAUAUUAUAAGGAAUACCAAAGGCGAAGGCAUUUUGCUGGACCAUUUCUGACGCUGAGAGACGAAAGCGUGGGUAGCGAAUGGGAUUAGAUACCCCAGUAGUCCACGCCGUAAACGAUGGAUAUUAGACAUUAGGAGUGUCGACCCUUUUAGUGUCGAAGCUAACGCAUUAAAUAUCCCGCCUGGGAAGUACGGUCGCAAGACUAAAACUCAAAGGAAUAGACGGGGACCUGCACAAGCGGUGGAGCAUGUGGUUUAAUUCGAUGAUAAACGAGGAACCUUACCAAGGCUUGAAAUCUCUAGAAUCCCCGAGAAACCGGGGAGUGCCGCAAGGAGCUAGAUGACAGGUGCUGCAUGGUUGCCGUCAGCUCGUGCCGUGAGGUGUUCGGUUAAGUCCAGUAACGAGCGCAACCCC